CGCCUGUUUAACAAAAACAUUUCUUUUUGCUUUUAUAAAAGGUAAGUUCUGCCCUAUGGGAUACUAAAUGGCUGCAGUAUUUUGACUGUGCAAAGGUAGCAUAGUAAUUAGUUUCUUAAUUAGAAGCUGGUAUGAAUGAAUUAAUGAGAAAUAUAUUUUAUUAAUUUUAAUAUUGAAAUUUAAAUUUUAAGUGAAAAUGCUUAAAGGUUUUCUUGGGACGAUAAGACCCUAUAGAACUUUACAUCUAAUUUCUAGUUGAUUUUAACUUUUAUACUCUUCUAGGGUUUUUAGAUGAUUCGCUGGGGUGGUGGAUAAAUUUAAACUUUAUUAUUUUAUAUCAAUUAUUUUUGUUUGUUUAGAUCCUUUUGGAAUCAAGAAUUAGUUACCUUAGGGAUAACAGCGUAAUUUUAUUGGCGAGUUCAUAUCUAUAUUAAUUUUGCGACCUCGAUGUUGAAUUAAGGAAAGAUUAAGAAGCAGAAUUCUUAAGUCUAAGUCUUCGACUUUUAAAUCCUUACUUGAUCUGAGUUCAGACCGG
rnacentral:rRNA from 1 species